rnacentral:tRNA from 1 species
UGGGGCCGUGGCGCAGUUGGGAGCGCGCCUCAAUGGCAUUGAGGAGGUCAGGGGUUCGAAUCCCCUCGGCUCCACC